rnacentral:rRNA from 1 species
AACGAACGCUGGCGGCAUGCCUAACACAUGCAAGUCGAACGAGACCUUCGGGUCUAGUGGCGCACGGGUGCGUAACGCGUGGGAACCUGCCCUUAGGUUCGGAAUAACUCCCCGAAAGGGGUGCUAAUACCGGAUAAUGUCUUCGGACCAAAGAUUUAUCGCCUUUGGAUGGGCCCGCGUUGGAUUAGCUAGUUGGUAGGGUAAAAGCCUACCAAGGCGACGAUCCAUAGCUGGUCUGAGAAGAUGAUCAGCCACACUGGGACUGAGACACGGCCCAGACUCCUACGGGAGGCAGCAGUGGGGAAUAUUGGACAAUGGGCGAAAGCCUGAUCCAGCAAUGCCGCGUGAGUGAUGAAGGCCUUAGGGUUGUAAAGCUCUUUUACCCGGGAUGAUAAGGACAGUACCGGGAGAAUAAGCUCCGGCUAACUCCGU